rnacentral:rRNA from 1 species
AACGAACGCUGGCGGCGUGCCUAACACAUGCAAGUCGAGCGAGAAAGCACCUUCGGGUGUGAGUAAAGCGGCGCACGGGUGAGUAAUACAUGGGUAACCUGCCUUCGAGUGGGGGAUAACCUCGGGAAACCGGGGCUAAUACCGCAUAACAAGUCUCCGUCCUCGGAUGGAGAUUUCAAAGCCGGCCAAUCCUUGGAAGCAGGCGCUUGUAGAGGGGCCCAUGUCCCAUUAGCUUGUUGGUGGGGUAAUGGCCUACCAAGGCUGCGAUGGGUAGCCGACCUGAGAGGGUGACCGGCCACACUGGGACUGAGACACGGCCCAG